rnacentral:sRNA from 1 species
UCAUUUAAUUUGCUUGAGAAGUACUUGGAAGCACACUCAAAGGCCUCCAUGUGGGAAAAUGAGCUCCUGGAUGUAGGCUACCAGCCUUUGUGCAUCCAAAUUCCCUACACAAGGAGAGCACGGUCAUUGAAAGUAAGUGGGGUCACGGCUUGAGUUGGUGUAGCUGCCAUGUGGAGAAGAAUUCAUCCACUUUAGAAAGCAAAAGUGGAAGGGUGGUUGGUGAUUUACGUGAAGAAAAGAGAAGUCGCUUACAUGAUGCAUAUUUCUUUUAUUUCUGAGUUGGUGCAGCAUGGAGAGAAGAGAAGCACACUUUCAUUUGUUUAGAAUACUUUCAAAUUUUUUAUUCCAGCUUAGGAGUAGUUUUAGUUUAUUUUAUUUGCUGCCAAUUAUUUUCGAAACCUAUGUCUUAUUUUUGAUAAAUGAUGAAAUUUUUCAGUGAAUUAUAUCUUUUAUUAAAUAGUUGUAAAUGUUUAUCUAUAUUAGAUGAUUUUUGGCAAUUUGUUAGUUAUGUUGACUUUUAUCAGCUAUUGAAACUCAUAACUAUUAAAUGCAGAUGCAGAAUCACCUAUUUUUUUUUAUAAAAUC